rnacentral:rRNA from 1 species
UACGUAGGGGGCAAGCGUUGUCCGGAAUUAUUGGGCGUAAAGAGCGCGUAGGCGGUCCGGUAAGUCGGUUGUGAAAGUCGGGGGCUCAACCCUCGGAUGCCGAUCGAUACUGUCGGGCUAGAGUCCGGAAGAGGCGAGUGGAAUUCCCGGUGUAGCGGUGAAAUGCGCAGAUAUCGGGAGGAACACCAAUGGCGAAGGCAGCUCGCUGGGACGUUACUGACGCUGAGACGCGAAAGCGUGGGGAGCAAACAGG